GACGAACCGUCCAAACGUUAUUCGGAAUCACUGGGCUUACAGAGUUCGUAGGCGGUCUGGAAAGUUGGGUGUGAAAUCCCUCGGCUCAACCGAGGAACUGCGCUUGAAACUACCAGACUCGAGGGAGAUAGAGGAAAGCGGAACUGAUAGUGGAGCGGUGAAAUGCGUUGAUAUCAUCAGGAACACCGGUGGCGAAGGCAGCCCCCUGGGUUAACACUGACGCUCAUGCACGAAAGCGUGGGGAGCAAACAGG
rnacentral:rRNA from 1 species